UACGUAGGGUGCAAGCGUUGUCCGGAAUUAUUGGGCGUAAAGAGCUCGUAGGCGGACUGUUAAGUCGGGGGUGAAAUCCUGGGGCUCAACCUCAGAAUUGCCUCCGAUACUGGCAGUCUCGAGUGCGGGAGAGGUGAGUGGAAUUCCCAGUGUAGAGGUGAAAUUCGUAGAUAUUGGGAAGAACACCAGUGGCGAAGGCGGCUCACUGGCCCGUAACUGACGCUGAGGUGCGAAAGCGUGGGGAGCAAACAGG
rnacentral:rRNA from 1 species